rnacentral:rRNA from 1 species
AUUGAACGCUGGCGGCAUGCUUUACACAUGCAAGUCGAACGGCAGCGCGGGCUUCGGCCUGGCGGCGAGUGGCGAACGGGUGAGUAAUACAUCGGAACGUGCCCAGUAGUGGGGGAUAGCUCGGCGAAAGCCGGAUUAAUACCGCAUACGACCUGAGGGUGAAAGCGGGGGAUCUUCGGACCUCGCGCUAUUGGAGCGGCCGAGGGCAGAUUAGCUAGUUGGUGGGGUAAAGGCCUACCAAGGCGACGAUCUGUAGCUGGUCUGAGAGGACGACCAGCCACACGGGGACUGAGACACGGCCCAGACUCCUACGGGAGGCAGCAGUGGGGAAUUUUGGACAAUGGGCGAAAGCCUGAUCCAGCAAUGCCGCGUGUGUGAUGAAGGCCUUCGGGUUGUAAAGCGCUUUUGGCGGGAACGAAAAGGACUGUGCCAAUACCACGGUUCGAUGACGGUACCCGCAGAAUAAGCACCGGCUAACUACGUG